rnacentral:rRNA from 1 species
GGGUUGUGAGGUUAAGCGACUAAGCGUACACGGUGGAUGCCCUGGCAGUCAGAGGCGAUGAAGGACGUGCUAAUCUGCGAAAAGCGUCGGUAAGGUGAUAUGAACCGUUAUAACCGGCGAUGUCCGAAUGGGGAAACCCAGUGCAAUUCGUUGCACUAUCGUUAACUGAAUACAUAGGUUAACGAGGCGAACCGGGGGAACUGAAACAUCUAAGUACCCCGAGGAAAAGAAAUCAACCGAGAUUCCCCCAGUAGCGGCGAGCGAACGGGGAGCAGCCCAGAGUCUGAAUCAGCUUGUGUGUUAGUGGAACGGUCUGGAAAGUCCGACGGUACAGGGUGAUAGUCCCGUACACCAAAAUGCACAGGCUGUGAACUCGAAGAGUAGGGCGGGACACGUGGUAUCCUGUCUGAAUAUGGGGGGACCAUCCUCCAAGGCUAAAUACUCCUGACUGACCGAUAGUGAACCAGUACCGUGAGGGAAAGGCGAAAAGAACCCCGGCGAGGGGAGUGAAAAAGAACCUGAAACCGUGUACGUACAAGCAGUGGGAGCACCUUCGGGUGUGACUGCGUACCUUUUGUAUAAUGGGUCAGCGACUUAUAUUCUGUAGCAAGGUUAACCGUAUAGGGGAGCCGCAGGGAAACCGAGUCUUAACUGGGCGUUAAGUUGCAGGGUAUAGACCCGAAACCCGGUGAUCUAGCCAUGGGCAGGUUGAAGGUUGGGUAACACUAACUGGAGGACCGAACCGACUAAUGUUGAAAAAUUAGCGGAUGACUUGUGGCUGGGGGUGAAAGGCCAAUCAAACCGGGAGAUAGCUGGUUCUCCCCGAAAGCUAUUUAGGUAGCGCCUCGUGAACUCAUCUUCGGGGGUAGAGCACUGUUUCGGCUAGGGGGUCAUCCCGACUUACCAACCCGAUGCAAACUACGAAUACCGAAGAAUGUUAUCACGGGAGACACACGGCGGGUGCUAACGUCCGUCGUGAAGAGGGAAACAACCCAGACCGCCAGCUAAGGUCCCAAAGUCAUGGUUAAGUGGGAAACGAUGUGGGAAGGCACAGACAGCCAGGAUGUUGGCUUAGAAGCAGCCAUCAUUUAAAGAAAGCGUAAUAGCUCACUGGUCGAGUCGGCCUGCGCGGAAGAUGUAACGGGGCUAAACCAUGCACCGAAGCUGCGGCAGCGACACUAUGUGUUGUUGGGUAGGGGAGCGUUCUGUAAGCCUGCGAAGGUGACCUGUGAGGGUUGCUGGAGGUAUCAGAAGUGCGAAUGCUGACAUAAGUAACGAUAAAGCGGGUGAAAAGCCCGCUCGCCGGAAGACCAAGGGUUCCUGUCCAACGUUAAUCGGGGCAGGGUGAGUCGACCCCUAAGGCGAGGCCGAAAGGCGUAGUCGAUGGGAAACAGGUUAAUAUUCCUGUACUUGGUGUUACUGCGAAGGGGGGACGGAGAAGGCUAUGUUAGCCGGGCGACGGUUGUCCCGGUUUAAGCAUGUAGGCUGGUUGUCCAGGCAAAUCCGGAUAAUCAAGGCUGAGGUGUGAUGACGAGGCACUACGGUGCUGAAGUAACAAAUGCCCUGCUUCCAGGAAAAGCCUCUAAGCAUCAGGUAACAUUAAAUCGUACCCCAAACCGACACAGGUGGUCAGGUAGAGAAUACCAAGGCGCUUGAGAGAACUCGGGUGAAGGAACUAGGCAAAAUGGUGCCGUAACUUCGGGAGAAGGCACGCUGGUGUGUAGGUGAAGCCCCUGCGGGUGGAGCUGAGACCAGUCGAAGAUACCAGCUGGCUGCAACUGUUUAUUAAAAACACAGCACUGUGCAAACACGAAAGUGGACGUAUACGGUGUGACGCCUGCCCGGUGCCGGAAGGUUAAUUGAUGGGGUUAUCCGUAAGGAGAAGCUCUUGAUCGAAGCCCCGGUAAACGGCGGCCGUAACUAUAACGGUCCUAAGGUAGCGAAAUUCCUUGUCGGGUAAGUUCCGACCUGCACGAAUGGCGUAAUGAUGGCCAGGCUGUCUCCACCCGAGACUCAGUGAAAUUGAACUCGCUGUGAAGAUGCAGUGUACCCGCGGCAAGACGGAAAGACCCCGUGAACCUUUACUAUAGCUUGACACUGAACAUUGAGCCUUGAUGUGUAGGAUAGGUGGGAGGCUUUGAAGCGUGGACGCCAGUCUGCGUGGAGCCAACCUUGAAAUACCACCCUUUAAUGUUUGAUGUUCUAACGUUGGCCCCUGACCGGGGUUGCGGACAGUGUCUGGUGGGUAGUUUGACUGGGGCGGUCUCCUCCCAAAGCGUAACGGAGGAGCACGAAGGUUAGCUAAUCCUGGUCGGACAUCAGGAGGUUAGUGCAAUGGCAUAAGCUAGCUUGACUGCGAGCGUGACGGCGCGAGCAGGUGCGAAAGCAGGUCAUAGUGAUCCGGUGGUUCUGAAUGGAAGGGCCAUCGCUCAACGGAUAAAAGGUACUCCGGGGAUAACAGGCUGAUACCGCCCAAGAGUUCAUAUCGACGGCGGUGUUUGGCACCUCGAUGUCGGCUCAUCACAUCCUGGGGCUGAAGUAGGUCCCAAGGGUAUGGCUGUUCGCCAUUUAAAGUGGUACGCGAGCUGGGUUUAGAACGUCGUGAGACAGUUCGGUCCCUAUCUGCCGUGGGCGCUGGAGAAUUGAGGGGGGCUGCUCCUAGUACGAGAGGACCGGAGUGGACGCAUCACUGGUGUUCGGGUUGUCAUGCCAAUGGCACUGCCCGGUAGCUAAAUGCGGAAGAGAUAAGUGCUGAAAGCAUCUAAGCACGAAACUUGCCCCGAGAUGAGUUCUCCCUGAGACUUUAAGUCUCCUGAAGGAACGUUGAAGACGACGACGUUGAUAGGCCGGGUGUGUAAGCGCAGCGAUGCGUUGAGCUAACCGGUACUAAUGAACCGUGAGGCUUAACCUUACAACGCCGAAG